rnacentral:rRNA from 1 species
GCAUCGAUGAAGAACGCAGCGAGCUGCGAUACGUAAUGCGAAUUGCAGGAUUCAGUGAGUCAUCGAAAUUUGGAACGCAUAUUGCACUUCCGGGUUAGUCCUGGAAGUAUGCCUGUAUCAGUGUCCNAACAACAAACUUGGCUUNCUUCCUNCCGUGUAGUCGGUGGAGGAGAUGCCAGAUGUGAAGUGUCUUGCGGUUGGUUUUCGGACCGACUGCGANUCCUUUUAAAUGUACUAAACUGUACUUCUCUUUGCUCCACAAGUGGUGACAAUACUGGUUGUGGACCGCUGCUAUUGUAGCGAGAUGGCGACCGGUUUGUCUGCUGCGGCGUUAAUGGAGAAAUGCUCGAUUUCGUGGUAUGGUUGGCUUCGGCUGAACAAUGCGCUUAUUGGGUGAUUUUCCUCCUGUGGCGUGAUGGACUGGUGAACCAUGGCUCUUUAGCUUGGCAUUUGAAUCGGCUUUGCUGUUGCGAAGUAGAGUGGCGGCUUCGGCUGCCGAGGGUCGAUCCAUUUGGGAAAUGUUGUGUACUUCGGUAUGCAUCUCAAUUGGACCUGAUAUCAGGCAAGAUUACCCGCUGAACUUAAGCAUAUCAAUAAGCGGAGGA